rnacentral:rRNA from 1 species
ACUCCUACGGGAGGCAGCAGUAGGGGAAUCUUCCACAAUGGGCGCAAGCCUGAUGGAGCAACACCGCGUGAGUGAAGAAGGGUUUCAGCUCGUAAAGCUCUGUUGUUAAAGAAGAACACGUAUGAGAGUAACUGUUCAUACGUUGACGGUAUUUAACCAGAAAGUCACGGCUAACUACGUGCCAGCAGCCGCGGUAAUACGUAGGUGGCAAGCGUUAUCCGGAUUUAUUGGGCGUAAAGAGAGUGCAGGCGGUUUUCUAAGUCUGAUGUGAAAGCCUUCGGCUUAACCGGAGAAGUGCAUCGGAAACUGGAUAACUUGAGUGCAGAAGAGGGUAGUGGAACUCCAUGUGUAGCGGUGGAAUGCGUAGAUAUAUGGAAGAACACCAGUGGCGAAGGCGGCUACCUGGUCUGCAACUGACGCUGAGACUCGAAAGCAUGGGUAGCGAACAGGAUUAGAUACCCUGGUAGGAUAGCG